rnacentral:rRNA from 1 species
UACGAAGGGGGCUAGCGUUGCUCGGAAUGACUGGGCGUAAAGGGCGCGUAGGCGGCUUGGUUAGUCAGGCGUGAAAUUCCUGGGCUUAACCUGGGGGCUGCGCUUGAUACAGGCAGGCUUGAGUGCGGAAGAGGGUCGUGGAAUUCCCAGUGUAGAGGUGAAAUUCGUAGAUAUUGGGAAGAACACCGGUGGCGAAGGCGGCGACCUGGGCCGUGACUGACGCUGAGGCGCGAAAGCGUGGGGAGCAAACAGG